rnacentral:tRNA from 1 species
GAGGCUGUGGUGUAAUGGCUUGCAUAUCACACUGUCACUGUGAAGGUUGGGGUUCGAAUCCCCCAGUCUCG